CCAGAUGGCCAUAGAGAAAGGAUUAGUUAAAUAAAGCAUGGUACAUGCAGACAACAAACUAGUAUGCAGCUGCCAAAAGGAACAAGGAAGCUCUCUGUGCACUGAUAUGGACAAAGUUCCAAGACAUUUUAAGUGACCAAAAAAAGGGAGAAAUUCUGAAGUCAGACAGGAGCCACUGAAGAGUACUUCCAAAGCCUCGCUCACUCUGGAAAGCUGGAGGGCAAAUACUUGUUUCUGCUCCAGGCAUAAAGCUUUUUCAUGAACUCUGAAAGGCACAAGAUCACAGGACCCCUAUUUCAUCUCCUUCAUCACCAGCUAUAAGCCAGCAUGCUAUAAUCUUCAUGAACUCCUAGGCAAUGAAGGGUCUUGUUGGAACAACGACAACUUUUUGAAUAUUGGGCUCACAGAGUUCAGCCCCUAGUGACGCUGACCCCAGGAAAGACCAAGGUAAAAGAGGAGGAAACUAAGGCCAGGCAGCAUGGGGACUCAGGAAACAGAUGGGGACAAAAAGCCAUGUUCCCUGUGUCUACCUUUAGGAGAUGACAAUGGAAAAAUUGGGACUUUGGCAUCGCUGACACCAACACUCAAUGCAUCUCAUGCAGGGCCUGUCCCUCACUUCUGUGUGGAGCCAGGUUCCAGGGUUCCAGCUGCAGCCGUCCUUGGGUCAUUGGUCAUCGAGGAACCUGCCGCUCUUGCUUCACAGUAACCUCCUUCAGGGACUGGCACUCCUGAAACCUCUUUCUGAAAAGCACAUUCUUGCGAAAACCAUUUCUGGAAGGUGGCGUAGCUCUCAACCAUAAUGGAGCAAGUUAAAAGUAGGGUUGUUGUUCUUUGGUCUUAAACAUUUUCUCUUAGGCACUGCCUGUCUCUUCUGACACUUUUAAAAGGUUCUCAAUUCAAGUAACUUAGAAAGUUAGGAGCUAACCAGAUAACCAUCAGCGUGAUGAACAUCUGUGGUGCGCCUUGCUCUUCUGCAAGUUCUCUCGUGGGAUCCCAGCUGCUUUGUGAUGAUUGGUUUUUGUAAAGAUUUGUGGUCAUUUUUAACAGUGACUGACAAUCUAGAUAAUAAAAUGGGGACUAGCCAAAAGCGGGGAAGACAGAAAUAUUGUUUAUACCUUGCAAGGCCCUUCACAUCCAUUCUCCACUAGAGGAAGUGAAUUAGAUUGGAUAUGGGUGCCCUGUGCUUGGUUAUGGCUUCAGAAGCAACAUGGACCCAGAGGGGACAAGGCACCCAGCUCAACGGGGAUCUGGGACAGAGCUAGGUAGUAAACAUUAAAAAUACUUGGGGUGGGACAACUCCCUUUAACACUGUUUUUUAUACAAAGUCAAAAUGAUUUCACUUCCAUUUCCCCCUCCAGUCUCAAAAAAAAAAAAACAACACAUGUGAUUCUUGCUGGCCUUGAGGAGAAAAAGUGGCUUGUCCAAACCCCCCAACCAACAGAGUGACGUGCCUUCCCCCUGGCUGCCUGCCCAUCAGGCUGCUCUGCCUCCGGAGGCCUCAUCCCCUAACCUUCAAGGGCUUGUCCAAAUACAAAUCCUCCUCCCUUUGGUGGAUCUGUAUUUGGUGUCAAUUGCUUCUGAUGGAAAAUAUUACUGGGGACAAAAACCUAGCCCAAAAACCAGGGAGAAAGUAUAAAAAUCUUUGCUUUUACCUAGUUUUUCAUAUUUUUGUACUUUCCUCUACAUUCUCACAAUGGUUCCAAGAGCCAGGUAGAAAAAGUCUUUUACAGAUGAGCAAAUUGAGAUUCAGUAAAAUUAAAUGGCUUGCCCGGCCGUACAGCUCUUUUCCCAGUCAUCUGGAGUCCCAAUUAAAGAGGGGAGGAGCCCAGGCAGAAAGAAGAUGGGGAAUGAAAAUUCUAGAUGUGAGAUGGGUCUUAAAGAAACAUCCACAGCUGUUUGGUAGCCACAGCACCCACAGUGACCACCUUUAUGCACUUCGCCCAAGUGAACUGAGCCAUCUCUGAAAGCAUUUGAAAAAGGGAAAUGCUUUAUCCCUGAAUAACCCUUUUUAUUGUCUUAAAAUUUCCUCAAAAACAGUGAACACAGUGGGCUCUUCACGCUGCUUGUGAUCAUUAAUCAUCCAGCUUAAUCGCAAAUGUCCUGCAUCGACUCUUGGGUUGACUCGAGACGGUGUCAAAGGGCAUCAACACCCCCAUGGCACUGAAGCUGACCUCUACAGGGUUAACACCGUCCUUAUGCACACGUUCUCCUAAAGUGCCCUAUGGAUUGCUCUGUUUAUUAAAUCUCUGCUGGCUUCUGUUUUGCAUUUUUGUUUUCUGCUCAACAAUGGAUGUACUGUUCCUCACUAAGAUCCCUUGAUUAAAAAUCCAAGUGUUGAGUAA